rnacentral:rRNA from 1 species
AACGCGAAGAACCUUACCCAGGCUCGAACGGCAUUGGACAUCCUGCGAAAGCAGGCUCCCGCAAGGGCCGAUGUCGAGGUGCUGCAUGGCUGUCGUCAGCUCGUGUCGUGAGAUGUUGGGUUAAGUCCCGCAACGAGCGCAACCCUUGUCCGCUGUUGCCAUCACGUUAUGGUGGGCACUCUGCGGAGACUGCCGGUGAUAAACCGGAGGAAGGUGGGGAUGAAGUCAAGUCCUCAUGGCCUUUAUGGCCAGGGCUACACACGUGCUACAAUGGCAGGUACAGAGGGAAGCCAACGCGCGAGCGGGAGCCAAUCCCAGAAAGCCUGUCGUAGUCCGGAUCGGAGUCUGCAACUCGACUCCGUGAAGUCGGAAUCGCUAGUAAUCGCAGAUCAGCAUUGCUGCGGUGAAUACGUUCCCGGGCCUUGUACACACCGAUAGC